UCUCAGCCUCCCAAAGUGCUGGGACUAUAGGCAUGAGCCAUGGCACCUGGCCUAUUUUAUUUUUUUUUGGAUAGAGUCUUUCUUUGUCGCAUAAGCUGGAGUACAGUGGCGCCAUCUUGGCCCACUGCGACCUUUGUCUCCCAGGUUCAAGCAAUUCUCGUGCCUCCGCCUCCCGAGUAGCUGGUAUUACAGGUGCGUGCCACCAUGCAUGGCUAAUUUUUGUAUUUUUAGUAUAGAUGGGGUUUUACCACAUUGGCCAGACUGGUUUCAAACUCCUGACCUCGAAUGAUCUGCCCGCCUCGGCCUCCCAAAGUAUUAGGAUUACAGGCGUGAGCCACUGCACUUGGCCAAUUUUAUUUUAUUUUUUUCAGACAGGAUCUCACUCUGUCACCCAGGCUGGAGUGCAGUGGCACAAUCUUGGCUUACUGCAGUCUCAACCUCCUGAACUCAAGUGAUCCUCCCACUUCGGCCUCCUGAGUAGUUGGAACUGCAGGCUGGAGUGCAAUGGCACGAUCUCGGCUCACUGUGACCUCCAUCUCCCAGGUUCAAGCGAUUCUCCUGCCUCAGCCUCCCGAGUAGCUUGGAUUACCAGUGCCCACCAUGAUGCCAAGCUAAUGUUUGUAUUUUUAGGAGAGACAGGGUUUUACCGUGUUGUCCAGGCUGGUCUCGAUCUCCUGACCUCAGGUGGUCCACCUGCCUCGGCCUCCCAAAGUGCUGGGAUUACAGGUGUGAACCACAUGUGCCCAGCCCAAAAGCUACAAUUUUAUCCUCAACAGUCUGGUUCCCAAGUCUAUGCUCUUAAAAAGGUAAUCCCCAUUCUCUCCGCUAAAAAGUCUCAACAGAGGGAGGAGUUGUCAACAAAUAUAUAGCAGAUCUUGCCCUAAAGUCUCCUGAAACAAAAGGAAGACUGAGUGUAAAUAAAGCUCUAGCCCAGUCCAGCCUAGCUCAAUUCCUGAUUGGACUGAGGUGAUCAGCCUGUUAUCCUAUCUGCCUAAGAGAGGGAAAGGACACCUCUCACUGGGCAAAGAUGCCAUUGCUUCAACCCUGUGGUUCUUUUUUAUACAAUGUCCAGAAUAUAAUAAAAAACUACAAGACAAGUGAUGAGGCAGGAAAAUGUGGUGGAUAAGAGAGAAAAAGAGACAACAGAAGCAGACACAUAGAUGAUCAAAUCUUGAAGUCAGCAAAUAGAAACUUUUAAAGUUAGAAGAAAAGAUGAGCAAAAAUGAGACAAAAGAUGGAGAAUUUCAACAGGGAAUUGGGAUCUACCAAAAAAAUCACAUGGAUAUUUUACAAUGGAAAAAAAUAUAUAAUAUCUGAAUUUUUUUUUUUUUUUUUUUUGAGACGGAGUCUCUCUCUGUCGCCCAGGCUGGAGUGCAGUGGCGUGAUCUUGGCUCACUGCAAGCUCCGCCUCCCGGGUUCAUGCCAUUCUCCUGCCUCAGCCUCCCGAGUAGCUGGGACUACAGGCGCCCACCACCACGCCCAGCUAAUUUUUUGUAUUUUUAGUAGAGACAGGGUUUCACCAUGUUAGCCAGGAUGGUCUCAAUCUCCUGACCUCGUGAUCCGCCCACCUUGGCCUCCCAAAGUGCUGGGAUUACAGGCGUAAGCCACCGCGCCCAGCCUAAUAUCUGAAAUUAAGAACUCAAUGGAUGGGGUCAACAGGACACUGGGCACAACAGAAGACAUAAGUGGUGAACUCAUAGACAAGCGAACAAAAAACUUCCUGGUUGGAUUACAGAGAGGAAAGAAUGGAAAAAACAGAACAGGACAUAACAGAUGUGAUCAAAAGGCCUAAUAUGUGUGUAAUUGGAGUCCCAGGAGUGAAGAGUGAAAAUGAGGCAGAAAAAAAUUCAAGUGAGAAUGGUUGAGAAUUUCCCCAAACUGAUGAAAGGCAUCCACCCACAAAUCCCAAUUUUGUACUUCCAACCACUGUUAUACCACCCCCCUCAACAAUGCCUAUAAAUGUUUGUUGAAAAUGAGUGAAUGAAUGAACUCCAAUCGUUUCCUCACUUGGAUGUUCCCUACUUUCUGCUCUUCUUAGAAAAUAAUAAAUGGUACAA